AACGGACGCUGGCGGCAGGCUUAACACAUGCAAGUCGAGCGCCCCGCAAGGGGAGCGGCAGACGGGUGAGUAACGCGUGGGAAUCUACCCAUCUCUACGGAAUAACGCAUGGAAACGUGUGCUAAUACCGUAUACGUCCUUCGGGAGAAAGAUUUAUCGGAGAUGGAUGAGCCCGCGUUGGAUUAGCUAGUUGGUGGGGUAAAGGCCUACCAAGGCGACGAUCCAUAGCUGGUCUGAGAGGAUGAUCAGCCACACUGGGACUGAGACACGGCCCAGAAUCCUACGGGAGGCAGCAGUGGGGAAUAUUGGACAAUGGGCGCAAGGCUGAUCCAACCCAGGCGGGUUAGUGAUGAAGGCCCUAAGGGUGUAAAACUCUUUCACCGGUGAAGAUAAUGACGGUAACCGGAGAAGAAGCCCCGGCUAACUUCGUGCCAGCCGCCGCAGUAACAC
rnacentral:rRNA from 1 species